rnacentral:rRNA from 1 species
CCUACGGGAGACAGCAGUGAGGAAUAGUGGUCAAUGGCCGGAAGGCUGAACCAGCCAAGCCGCGUGAAGGACGAAGGUGCCAAGCAGUGUAAACUUCUUUUGUCAAGGGACAAAAUCAGGCGCGAGAGCCGGACCGAGGGUACUUGAAGAAAAAGCAUCGGCUAACUCCGUGCCAGCAGCCGCGGUAAUACGGAGGAUGCGAGCGUUAUCCGGAUUUAUUGGGUUUAAAGGGUGCGUAGGCGGACUGGUAAGGCAGCGGUAAAAGCCCGGGGCUCAACCCCGGCGAGCCGUUGAAACUGGCUGUCUUGAGCUGUCGAGAGGUAUGCGGACUGCGCCGUGUAGCGG